rnacentral:rRNA from 1 species
AUGUUGCUUUGGUUGCAGGCGUCUCACCAUAAUGCUCCACUGCCCAACCUUUUCGUCUCGUAUGCUUUGGCCCAUAAGGCACCGUACAGAACAGCCACGCCUUAUGAUGAGAAUGACACAGCGUCCGCGUACUCCAGCAAGACCGCCUACGAUCGGAUGGAGAAAUUUAAAGGGGUGGCAAAAGAGUUGAAAGGGCCCGAGUAUGAUGUGACAACAGAGCCUCUUGACCACGCUUUGGUCAUGACCUCUGGAGAAGGCAGGAAACAUGGCAAGGAAGCAAUUGCAGGAGGCAUGUUCCCUAGCUCCUCCCAUAGCUCUCUCCCUGAAUACAAAGCUCGGUUACGUAUCUCAAAAUCUUCUACAUAUAAACGCUCAACUCCAGCUAUGGCUGAGAUGGAGGCCCGACUGGCGGAGGAGAGGCGAGUGGCGGCAGAGGAGAGGGCGGAGGAGAGGCGAGUGGCGGCGGAGGAGAGGGCGGAGGAGAGGCGACUGGCUGAUGAGAGGAUGCAGCAAGCGGUGCAGCAGGCGGUGUUGGCACAAACUAGUCAACGCUUUGCAAUGUUUGCGGCUUAUUGUACCCAAAAUGGUAUGCCCGCUAUGCAGAUGCCUCAAUCAGGCCAUGGAUCUAAUGCUGAUGGAUCUUCACAUGCACGAGGCCCAAGCGACAACAACCUUGGUGGUUCUCCGAAUGUUUGA